GGCGGAAUAGCUCAGUUGGGAGUCCGUCAGACUGAAGAUCUGAAGGUCCCUGGUUCGAUCCCGGGUUCCGGCA
rnacentral:tRNA from 1 species